AUGUCCUGCAUGGAACAGGAAGACAAGGAUUCUUCCAAAUCUGUAAAAUUCGACAUUGAUGGUGACCACAUACCUGAUAGUGAACCCUGUUGUGAUGAUGAUCCUACAACAAGCAAUACCCAGACUCUUCUAUCAAGUACAAAAGAGGCUUCUUCUAAUGAGGCUGCAGUCGUGCCAGAAGUCUCUCCUUGCACUCAAAGAAAUUACUGCUAUGUUUGCAAAACACCUCAAUCUAAAAUAUCCUGUCAUCUUAAAAAACAUGAAAAAGGAGAGCUUGAUAUUGCUGAAGCAUUCUCGUUUCCUAAGAAAUCAAAAGAGAGAAAAAGACUACUUGAGAAGUUGCGGAACAGAGGUAAUUACGAACACAACCAGGAAGUUUUGAGGAAUCAUGAAGGACAACUGAAAUUAAGAAGAAGACCAUCACGAUCAAAAAUCUCUGUGACAACCCAAACGCAUGUGCACUGUGCAUAUUGUAAGGGCAUGUUCAUUCGUAAGGAGCUGUGGCGCCACUUGCGUAGAUGCCCAUCAAAGACGGUCUCCGAGAGUGAGGCUGUUGGGAAGAAUAGAGUCUUAGUUGUGGCUGAUAUCUCGGAGACAACAUUCUGCCAAGCAAUUUGCGCUGGACUGUGGAAAAUCCUUAGAAAUAUGAGGCAAGAUGAGAUUGCAUCUGUUGUACGAAAUGACUUCCUCAUUCUGCAACUGGGCCAGUCUCUCUUCAACAAGCAUGGGAGUGAUUCAACAAAGUUUGAGUAUAUCAGAGCCAAGGUCCGAGAAAUGGGCAGACUGUUGUUGACCUUAAGAAAGAAAUAUUCUAUAUUUAGCUUUGAAGAAGCUGUAAAGCCAAAUCAUUUUUACAAGAUCAUUGGAGCUGUCAGAGCAGUUGCAGGAUAUGAUGAAGAGAAACACUCCUAUUGCACACCAAGCCUUGCCCUGAAAUUGGGACACUCGCUCAAGAAGAUCGGUGACAUUAUUCUCUGCAGGGCCAUCGCAGCAGAGGAUGAAGAUUUGAUUAAAGCAGCAGAACGAUUCACACAACUCUGCACAAAACAGUGGGCAACACAGGUCUCCCACACUGCACUGGCUACUUUGAGCAAGGCAAAAUUUAACAAACCAUCCACCAUACCAUUCACAGAGGAUGUGCAGCUCUUGCACAAGUACCUGGAGGACAAAUCAGCAGACGCCAUUGAAAACCUAAAAGACCAUGAUUCUCCACAGGCGUAUGCUGAACUUGCUAGGGUGACACUCACUCAGAUAAUCGUCUUUAAUAGACGCCGUGCAGGAGAAGUCUCAAAAAUGACACUUGAGUCCUUCAAAAAAAGAGACCAGACUGAGCUCCAUAGUGACAUAGCUGCUAGCUUGUCACCGUUUGAACAAAAGCUAGCCCAGCACUUCAGCAGGGUUGAAAUUAUGGGCAAAAGAGGGAGGAAAGUUGCUGUUCUAUUAAACCCGGAAGUUGUCAGUGCAACAACACUUCUAUCACACAAAAGAGACGCAUGUAACGUCCAUAAGGAUAACCCCUUCCUCUUUGGACGUCCACAGUGCCCACCCACGAGCUACUACAGGGGACAGGACUGCAUACGAAUUUUUGCACACGCGUGUGGUGCAAAGAAUCCUGAUAAUCUGAGGUCUACGCAACUUCGCAAGCACAUUGCAACAUUGUCCCAAAUUCUCAAUCUCAAAAAUAAUGAGCUGGACCAACUCCCAAUUUCUUGGGCCACGACAUUCUGGUCCACAGAGACUUUUAUCGUCUUCCGGAGGCAACUAUAG
ensembl:lncRNA